AGGUGAGUGUGGUGCUGAUGAGGAGUCCAGGUGUUUGUCAUCAGUAAUCAGUGGAUCGUUGCUAAUCAGUCACUCCAGCGUUCCUUACAGACAGCCUUCAGUGGUGUUCUGAUGCAGGACCGUCUUAGUCCCUCCAUGCUGACUUCUGCCUGCUUGUGCUUUCCUCAUUCCUCCGGUCCGUUGCUCUGUUUCCUGGUCCUCUGUGGGUUCUGCUGGAUCCAGAGGAUUCUACCGUACUUCCCAUGGUUGUGUCCACAUGUUGGAAUGAGAGGUUCCCUGUGAAGAACCAAGAGGAGUCUCCUUCCCCGUGUGGACGUUCCCCCUCCUACAGUCAGUAAGGUUCUCCAGCCAUAGUGACACCAGACGGAGGUUCUGCUUUUCCAUUCUAUGACCUGUUCCAUCAGCUCCCUACCUUCAGGCUUUAAUAGCUUAGAGUUUUUGGUUUCUGUGCAGUUACUGGUUGAUCAGGUUUCUGCUUAGUUUAGGUUUCCAUAGUUCUGUAGUUUUCCUGCCUUGGUCUUUCCAACAGCAGGUUAACUGUAGUUCUGAGUUUAGUCUUGGUUCUUCCUCCUCCUGCCUCUAGAGGCUCCUUGGUUCACUUUUCUUGAGGAUUAGCCGGGUUCAGAUAGUUGGUUCUCGUCUGUUCAGGCCUUAACUUUCCAAUCUCAUUGUGGUUGAAAUGAAUGAAUGAACGCUGAAACCUUGUCAGAAGGCGUCUUAUUGUCUUUGUUCCAGUGCUCAGUCCUUGAGGUGACCGUCUAAACUCUUUAGUUUGGUAUCUUGGUGUUCUCUGAUCCUCUCUUUGGGACCAUUCCAGGUUCAUUACUGUUCACUAUCAUGGAUUUGGACCAACAGCUGCACUAUGGACCCACGCCAUUUUUACUGUGGAUUCUAUCACAUCUAGAAGCUCAGAGCCAUCAGAGCUGCUUCACUCAUUCAUGACCUGAGACUGUUAAUGAUGUACAGAUACUUUAUAGCUGAGAGCUGCUCUUAUUUCAGGCCUUGAACAUUGGACUGUUUUAUCACAGGGUUCUGUCACCAACACAAGAUCACAGGUUGAGGUUUUACAAUCAACCAUAAACCUCUAAAAGUGAACUCAGAAUGUGAGUUUACAAGGUUCCUAUUGGCUGAAUCCUUCCAGACAGUCUCUGUCUGAUCCAUGCUGCUCUUCUUUAGAAUAAACUUAUUAUGAAGUAAGUCAGUGUCAGCGGACGUUUCUUCUUCACCUGCACAUCAUGGAUGUCUGACAAACUAAAUAUUCUACACAACUUGAUAAACGAGCCAAAUCCAAUCAGAUUCAGUCUCUAAAAGCAGCUGCUGAUAACAUCUGGACAUUAUUAAUGUUCCACAAUCACCAGAAACAUGAUGAGCACUUUGAUCUGUUCCAACAAAACAUCUGUGAGAUGUGGAACAACAACUUUAUUACUGACAAACAAUCCUUCAGAGGAUGGAAAACAAUGAAAUAUCAGAUCAGGAGCUGUAGUUUGAUCAGCAGGAGCCAGCUGAUGGUUGGACAGAGUGUCAUUUUUCUACACAGCAUCAGAGUGAAGUUGUUGGAUUUUCUUCCCAAUAAAAGUGGUUGAGAUGAUGAUGUGAUCAGCUCCUUCAUCAACAUGUGAAUGUGUAGAAAUAAAGGCCAGAGUGAGGCUGUGGUCAGAGAGGAGGAGCUUUCUUAGUCCUCAGCUGUUUCCAGGAAGCUGCUGCAGCUUCAUCAUGUCUCAUAUUAACGUCAUCUAAAGGUGCAGCAGCUGAUCUUUGCUCUUUGUGUCUCAGAGUGACGGCAGCCUGCAGACACAGAGGAGGAUUUUCUCUCAGACCUGGUCCACACAGCAGAGAGCUGCAGAGGAAGAAGCUGAGUGUUUCAGAGUGACGGCAGCCUGCAGACUCAGAGGACCGGUGACGGAGAAGCAGCCCAGGAUUUUCUGUGUUUCUGCUCAAACCCAGACAGCAGAGAUCUGGACUGGUGGGAAGAAGCUGAGGAGACACCAUGACUAAACAGAUCCUCAAAAACAUCCUGGAUGAUCUGAAUGAUGAGGAGCUGUCUGAUUUCCAGUGGUCCCUGCAGGAGUCCAACAUUGUUCCAGGCCUCGAAGCCAUCAAAAAGAGCCGACUACAGAAACUAGACAGGCGUAACACUGUGGAUGUGAUGGUACAGACUUAUGGACCUCAGAGAGCUGUGCAGGUGACCAGAGUGGUUUUAAAGAAGAUCCACAGGAAUGAUCUGCUGGAGAGGUUUCCUGCCAGCAGCUCAGGAUCAGAAGUGCCUGUCAGUGAUGUUGGAGAACCUUCAGAGAACAGAGAACCUUCCUCCUGUCAGACUCAGCCUCCUCUUCCUCAGACUGAAGGUAAAACUGAUGGAUUCUUUGGUCUGUAAAGAAAGAUAGCAGCAGUUCAUCAUGCCUGAAAUGGAAGCUGAGUUUAAGCAGGUUGUUUCUCUGUAGGAAAGACCUACAUUUUAAGUGUUAUGAUGGUCUGUCUCUCUUCUAUUGUUAAUUACCUUUUCCUCUCCUUUUUUAAUAGCAACACACUACUUUCUGCAGUACAAUACUGUUCUAAUAAUGUUCUGGAAGGUUGUGUGAUGCGUUCUAACACUACUUUUAUGCAGACAGAGGGUUAGGAAAAGUUGGAAAGAGAUUCACAGAGUCGGCCUUCCGGCAUCAAUAACUCAUGAGAUAUACGUUGUGAAAACAUAAACGAUGCCUCUUUCAAAUCGUUGUAAGCUAGACAAUGUGCUACAAGGUCGUUUUAUCAAAAGUCGCUGUCUUUCAAGCUGCAGAAAUAACAUUGGCGUCUAUGAGCAGCUGGCUGUGCGGCGAGUGAACAGGGACCGUCUGCAAAUAGCAAAACCGCUGCAACAGCGAAAAGAGACACUGCACAAAUAUUCAAUGACUUCACUCUUAUACAGUGCAGAGCCACCAAAAUCACUGUAGCCAUGAAUGGGCUCCUGCUGGUCAUACUGCAACUCUUGGUUUAGGGAUAAAUGAAAAAUCUGAAUUUUAAGGAAUUUUUAUGUUAUCAGUAACACAAAAAUACCCCUUGGUAUUGUGUGUUGUGCAUCAGUCACAGUUGAAGAGGCUGUACACAAGUUAGGCUCUUAUCAGAUAUAAGAGGGUUUUGGUCUGGGGUAAGGAUCCAAAACUGUUUCAAAAAUAAUUCCAGAAAAAACUGUCCAUUGUUUUGAAUUUGUUUUGUUGUGACAGAUUUUUUUUAACAGAUAAAAAUGAUCACCCACUGUUUUUAGGGACUCAGUUUUAUUACAUUUGGGUUGUUUAUUGCCAUAUGAUGGUGUGUACAAUUAUUUAGUGUUUGUGAUUGUAUGUGAAGUUUAAGGAUUAAUGAGUAAAUUAGCUUUGAUGGCACUUUUCUUGAUCGAUGUGGUAUAUUUUAUAUACCACACAGGAAAAUGACAUAGGGGCACAGUGCACUUGUUUGUCCAAAUAUAUAAUUCUGUAUAGUAAUGGAAUUUACAAUCAGCAGCACCCAUUCUGAUCA